rnacentral:rRNA from 1 species
GACGAACGCUGGCGGCGUGCUUAACACAUGCAAGUCGAACGGAAAGGCCCUGCUUUUGUGGGGUGCUCGAGUGGCGAACGGGUGAGUAACACGUGAGUAACCUGCCCUUGACUUUGGGAUAACUUCAGGAAACUGGGGCUAAUACCGGAUAGGAGCUCCUGCUGCAUGGUGGGGGUUGGAAAGUUUCGGCCGUUGGGGAUGGACUCGCGGCUUAUCAGCUUGUUGGUGGGGUAGUGGCUUACCAAGGCUUUGACGGGUAGCCGGCCUGAGAGGGUGACCGGCCACAUUGGGACUGCGAUACGGCCCAGACUCCUACGGGAGGCAGCAGUGGGGAAUAUUGCACAAUGGGCGGAAGCCUGAUGCAGCAACGCCGCGUGCGGGAUGACGGCCUUCGGGUUGUAAACCGCUUUCGCCUGUGACGAAGCGUGAGUGACGGUAAUGGGUAAAGAAGCACCGGCUAACUACGUG